ACUUGAUAUAGCGAAUCAGGUGUCUGUGACCUAACAGAAAAGCCCGGUGUAAUUCCGGCGCGGUCCCGCCGCUGUAAGGCCGAGAGAGAUUACAAUGAUGUCACUGUACGUAUGUAUGGGAAGGCGUAAUCGAUCGUUGAAGCCGAGCCAGAAGAACUGCCUGAUUAAGGAUCACCGAU
rnacentral:ncRNA from 20 species